rnacentral:lncRNA from 1 species
AUCGGAAUCACCGUUUAUAUGUUUUCAUACUACAUAAUUGUUUUUAUUGCAAAUGUUUACAUUCUUUCUGAUACGGUUGGUCAAAGUUUAUAAAGUAGAUGAAAUAUCCGGUUAACUUGCAUAUUAAUCCUUACUCGUGGCCUAGUAGGGGCAUUGAGUAGUCGAUAAAAUAAUUAAUCAUUUGAUUAAUUGAUUAACUCGCCAAUUAUCUUGUCGGUUAGCCUAUUAUUCCUUUACUCGCCAGCCAACCAAGCAUCUCCCGGUUAAUAUUUUCCUUAACAUGUAGAAAACACACGGUGUGUUAUUGUGAGUAAACUGGGCCAUGACACACAUGUUGGGUGCGAUGGUACAAGUGUUGCCCCAUUGAAAAACUAACUAGAGGCUGCACUCAACCUAGCAUAAAACAACAACGGCUAAGGAGAAGAAUGGCUGUGACGAGAAGCACACAACAAGUUCCCCGUGUCUCUCAAUCGCAUGGGAUGCUAUUUGGCUCCCAUUCAAAGGCCAGAUCAGCAACAUGGUAAUCAACAUGCUUUGUCUUUAUUCGUUCAUCUCUUCAACUUUGCAACAACUAUAGGUGGUACUAUCAUGUUUAGGCUAUGCUACCGCAUCUACAUUUUAUAACAUGGUUUGGGUAAGUCCACAUAUAGGUUAUUUAUACUUUCCUUUAUCCUUUUGGCACUACCUUAUAAUAAUGUUCCAAUAGUAAAGAAUGCCUACAUAUGAUUUAUUGGAUCUGCUGAGGGAGCAUGUAGUUCUUAUCAAUGGCGGAGAAGGGAGAAAAAUUAAGAUGGGGCAAAUUUAAAUGAAGUAUCAAAAUGAAUGUAUGAUACAAUAUCAAAGUCAUUGCACACCAUAUUUCCGUAUGAUGCUAGGCCCAAUCACCAAUUUCAAUAGGAAUAUACACAUAUUGAGAUUGAACUUUUAAUAUAAUUUGUCAGAUUUUUAAUGAAAUCUUGCUUAAUUUUACUGAUCAAGAAUUUUACCCCACACAAUGGUGAUUUACCCUUCCUCUUGUGACCAGCAGCCCAGAAACGUCGUCGUGUUGUUGCGCUCCGAUCGCCCACACAAUGCAUGCUCAUGUGUGCCCACGCUGUAUGGAUCCCGCACAUUGUGUCGUCAUGUUUUAGUCUCUUACCAAUCAUGUAACUAUGGACCGCGUUGCUGCAUGGCUAAUCCAUGCAUCGUUCGCCACGUUUUCUUUUUUCAAUAGAAAUGCAUCGUCCGUGCCUAUGUAAUUGAUAACAUUUUGCUCGACUAGUUUCACUUACAUGGUCCGACCGGAAACAAUAACUCACACAUAUCCAUGUGCCGAACAAGAGGCUAUACUCAGCCUAACAUAUAGAACAAUAGUGAGUAAGGAGAGGAAGGACGACACCAAGAAGCACACAACAAGUUCCUGGCGUCUCUCAAUCCCACAGGAUGCUACUGGGCUCCCAUCCAAAGACCAGAUCAGAAACAUGGUCAUCAACCUACUCUCUAUUCCCUUAUCUCGUCCACUUUGCAAUAACUAUAGGUACUACUCUCAUGUUUGCUCUAUGCUACUGCAUCUAUCUUUUAUAACAUGGUUUGGCUAGGUACACAUGUAGGCUCUUUACACUUUCUCGUGUCAUUCUGGCAUUAUAGUAAUGUUCUAAUAAAAAAUGUUACAUAUCAUUUAUUGCAUAUGUGAGGUAGCAUGUAGUUUUUAUUAGUGCCAGGCGAUAGAGAAAAUUUAAUGUGAGGUAAAGUUAAAUAAGGUAUCAAAAGGAAAGUAUGAUACAACAUCAAAAUAAUCUAUACACACCAGUCCACUAGGCCCAUCAUAUCUCGUUUUAUUUUCCCAUAGGCUCGACUUCUGAUGGCAUUUCCAAUAUAUACGACACUUAAGGCGCCUCUUAAAGGCCCUCCGAUACAGGGCGCAAUCCUGUGUAGCCUAGGUCUUUUAGGGCCAUUUCUUUUGGAAGCUAGUUCAACAUUUUUCAAAUACUUAUUCAACAUUUUUCGAAAUCUAGUUCGAUAUUUUUCAAAUACUUAUUCAACAUUUUUCCCGAAUGCUUGAUUAACAUUUUUAAAUACUCGUACAACAUUUUUAAAAUACUUGUUCAACAUUUUUGAAUUCUUGAUUAACAUUUUUAACAUAAUUGUUCAACAUUUUUCAAUUACUUAUUCAACCUUUUUUCAAAUGUUACCCCAUGUAACAUCUCAUUCUGAUGGCCGAUCAUUAUCGAUGAGUGAACUGGAUGGUUAAAUCUUGUUUAGAGACUUACGGAGGAUAAAACUUUGGUGCCAGAAGUGUUGCCCCAUUGAACAUCACAUUCUGAUGGUUGCUGACUAGCGAUGAGUGGACGGGAUAGUUAAAUCUCGUUUAGGGACUGACGAAGGCUAACAUAUCCCAAGAACUAGAUGUUUUCAUAUGGAAUCUACAUAGCCACGCUUGUUUUCGAAAAACAUCCAUCCAUGUAUGUGGACAUGGUAAGUAUUCUUUUGGCACCUAUGUAGUGAGGUUUUCUAAUCAAUGACAAUCUGACCAAAAGGAACUGGAAUUGUAGUAAAAUGUGGUUUCUAUGGCAAAGACCAUGUGAUCUAGCAUUUCUUCUUGUCAUGCCUUUCACGGGUCCCUUAUAUAUGGUGAAGAAACUCAUGUGCCUUUUAACUUUCCUCCGCAGAUCCACCAACUACUAUUGCUAAUAUAUUCAUAAAUUGAUUUCUCACGGUGAACAUGCAUCUUAAGUCUCAAUUUCGACCGGUAAUAUCUCUCUCUUAUGUUGGAAAAUUUGAAACUGCCAAAAUUAUUUUGUGCAUGUUAUCCACAUGCUUUUGAACUAGACCCGUACCUGGUACUUACUUCAGUGUAUGGAAGCGUAGGAGCUUUUGGACCCUUGGUUUCUAUGGAAAUCUAGCAAUAGGAUGAGUAAUGCAUAAGUGCAUUAAGUUUUUCAUAUCAAUGAACCUUUUAUUACCUCCCAGGUUCUGCAUCCUAGAUGCAUGCAUCAAAACUCAUUACAAAGCUUAUUACAUCAUGAAUAUCCAGAACAGACACAACCAAAAAACAUUAGCUUGAAAAGAAAGAUUACUCUGUAAGCUAAGAAAUCUAUCACUAGCAUGCCGACCUAUAAUCGGGACAUAAAUUCUAUGUUAAUCUAUUUGAGCCGCUUGGCACCAAGUUUCAUCUACCCCUUGUUCUACUCCUUUUGUAACAACACCCGAGACCGCAUCUAAUUGUUAAACAUGCUAAGAACCAAGAUUUCGAUGGAUACUUUGAGGUGGUGUGACAUUGAAUGGUAAAUAUAUAGCAAUGCCACACACCACGAGAUGAAGUACACAAAAAAGAUGUGGGAAAUUUUUUUAUUCAUAGAAAAAUCUAUUGGGUGCGUCUCUGCCAUAUGGGAAAUCUCCAGGCUAAGUCCCGUCACAUGGUCCGACAGCCAAACAAUGACCUCCCGCACUUCCAUGCCCCGAACAUAAGGUUAUACUUAGCCUAGAAUAGAACAAUAAAUAGUAAGGAGAAGAAGGACGACAACUAGAAGCAAACAACAAGUUCCCAAUGUCUCUCAAUCCCACGGGAUGCUAUUGGGAUCCAAUCCAAAGACGAGAACAUAAACACGGUGAUCACCCUCCUUUGUCUCUAUUCCCUCCUCUCGUCAACUUUGCAACAGCUGUAGGUGGUACUCUCAUGUUUGCUCUGUGCUAUCGCAUCUACCUUUUAUAACACAGUCUGCCCAGGUCCACAUGUAGGCUCUUUACACUUUCUUUGGUCCUUUUGGCACUAUAAUAAUAUUGUGGGGGAACAUGUGGUUAUUAUCAAUGGUGGGGGAUAGAGGAAAAUCAAGGUGUGGGAAACUUAAAUAAAGUAUAAAAAUGAAAGUAUGAUACAAUAUCAAAGUAAUCAAUACACACUAUCUUUUAUAUGAUGCUAAGUUGAAUAACCAAUUUCAAUAGGAAUUUAAACAUAUUUAGAUUGGACUUUUAAUGGUAAUUUCUUUGCUUUUAAUUAAAUCUUACUUAACUUUACUGAUCGCAUUUUUUACCUAGGCAAUGGUGAUUUCCACUUCCUCUAGGCACCGGCAACCUAGAAAUGUCGCCGUGCUGCUACGCUCCCGUCGCCCGCGCAAUGAAUGCGGUAUGCGACCCUGCGAUCUGGAUCCCGUGUGUUGUGUCGUCGCGUUUUAGUCAUUGACCCACUGUGUGCCUGCCGGCCACGCUGCUGAUGGCUAAUCCAUCAUUUGUGACAUGUGUUCUUUUGAGUAGAAAUCCAUUGUUUGUGCCUACGUCAUUGAUAUCGUUCUAAUCGCUCGACAAGUUUAGCUAACAACUUUUAUUUCUCAGUUAAAAAAAACUUUUAUUUCUUGUGGCAAGGAUUCACUAAUAGCUCACCAACACCUAGGAGAAGAAUUCGGUUAUAUCCCGCUGCGAGCCUGUCAUUGGAUUCCCACUCCAAUGCGGGAUAUAGUGGGCCGGCCAGUCAACCCGCUGGAAAAAAAAAUCACGAAAGAAAAAUUCAACAUGCUAAUUAGGGCGAAGUGGGAAUCGUUCUCGGGAGCUCCCAUGUGCCGCAUUCAGCGGCAGAAUGCCGAGGCUUCGCACAGGGCAGCCCCAACUAGGCCGACCCACGCAGGUUGCGUGCGUUGGCAAAAAUCAUCAGCUGC